GACGAACGCUGGCGGCGUGCCUAAUACAUGCAAGUAGAACGCUGAAGAGAGGAGCUUGCUCUUCUUGGAUGAGUUGCGAACGGGUGAGUAACGCGUAGGUAACCUGCCUGGUAGCGGGGGAUAACUAUUGGAAACGAUAGCUAAUACCGCAUGAAAUUGCUUAUCGCAUGAUAAUUAAUUGAAAGAUGCAAUUGCAUCACUACCAGAUGGACCUGCGUUGUAUUAGCUAGUUGGUGAGGUAACGGCUCACCAAGGCGACGAUACAUAGCCGACCUGAGAGGGUGAUCGGCCACACUGGGACUGAGACACGGCCCAGACUCCUACGGGAGGCAGCAGUAGGGAAUCUUCGGCAAUGGGGGGGAAACCCCUGACCCGAGCAAACGCCCGCGUGAGUGAAAGAAAGGUUUUUCGGAU
rnacentral:rRNA from 1 species